ACUGAACUUAUAUUACAUCAUCUCAUUAGCCCAUGUGUACAUAUGAAGGGAGUUGAUGGGAUAUUAAUUUUGACUUCUUUUGGCCACAGAUGGCAACAAAACAAAAAAAGCACAAGGCUAUGGGUGAUGAGGAGUGGAUGUCACGCCUGCGGAGAUUCGCUGCUUCAGGGGUUUGGCCCUCUGAUGCAGGAGUGGAAUGACCUCUAUCUGAAGAUUGACAAAUGCCCGAUGCAACGGAGGGGACAGGCAUCUCUGUUUGGGGGGCCACAGACAUGUGGCUGUGGUUUCCACACUAAGAAGCCUUCCAGCUCAGUCCCUGACACCCCAUUUCCCCGUACCACUGUUGGCACUGGUCAAGGGCAAGGCCCUUCAAGCGCUGCUGCUGCUGCCUCCUCAGCAUCAA